AACGAACGCUGGCGGCAGGCUUAACACAUGCAAGUCGAACGAGAUCUUCGGAUCUAGUGGCAGACGGGUGAGGAACACGUGGGAACAUCCCUUUCAGUUCGGAAUAACGUUGGGAAACUAACGCUAAUACCGGAUACGUCCUUCGGGAGAAAGAUUUAUCGCUGAAAGAUUGGCCCGCGUCUGAUUAGCUAGUUGGUGAGGUAAUGGCUCACCAAGGCUACGAUCAGUAGCUGAUCUGAGAGGAUGAUCAGCCACAUUGGGACUGAGACACGGCCCAAGCUCCUACGGGAGGCAGCAGUGGGGAAUAUUGGACAAUGGGCGCAAGCCUGGUCCAGCCAUGCCGCGUGAGUGAUGACGGCCUUCGGGUUGUAAAGCUCUUUUGUCCGGGAAGAUAAUGACGGUACCCGGAGAAGAAGCCCCGGCUAACUUCGUGCCAGCCGCCGCCGUAA
rnacentral:rRNA from 1 species